CCCUUAGAUGUCCUGGGCCGCACGCGUGCUACACUGAUGCAUACAGCGAGUACUCCCAGCUCCGAGAGGCUGCUGGUAAUCAGCAAUAUGCAUCGUGAUGGGGAUAGAUCUUUGGAAUUAUAGAUCUUGAACGAGGAAUUCCUAGUAAUCGCAGGUCAUCACCCUGCGUUGACUAAGUCCCCGCCCUUUGUACACACCGCCCGUCGCUCCUACCGAUUUCGAGUGAUCCGGUGAAUCAUUCGGACCGCGGCCCCUAGGCAUGCGGAAAGUCUAGUAAACCAUAUCACUUAGAGGAAGGAGAAGUCGUAACA
rnacentral:rRNA from 1 species